rnacentral:misc_RNA from 1 species
CGGAACGUGAGGAAUGCGCGUC